GACGAACGCUGGCGGCGUGCUUAACACAUGCAAGUCGAACGGAAAGGCCCUGCUUUUGUGGGGUGCUCGAGUGGCGAACGGGUGAGUAACACGUGAGUAACCUGCCCUUGACUUUGGGAUAACUUCAGGAAACUGGGGCUAAUACCGGAUAGGAGCUCCUGCUGCAUGGUGGGGGUUGGAAAGUUUCGGCGGUUGGGGAUGGACUCGCGGCUUAUCAGCUUGUUGGUGGGGUAGUGGUUUACCAAGGCUUUGACGGGUAGCCGGCCUGAGAGGGUGACCGGCCUCAUUGGGCCUGAGAUACGGCCCAGACUCCUACGGGCGGCAGCAGUGGAGAGUCUUGCACAAUGGGCGGAAGCCUGAUGCAGCAACGCCGCGUGCGGGAUGACGGCCUUCGGGUUGUAAACCGCUUUCGCCUGUGACGAAGCGUGAGUGACGGUAAUGGGUAAAGAAGCACCGGCUAACUACGUG
rnacentral:rRNA from 1 species